ACAGCGUUGUUAGGAGGGGGAGACACCAGAGCACCAACUUCUCUCACUUAAACCUUAUGACAACCUUAAGAAGUAGGCAGCAUGAUCCCCUUCUUGGAAAUGCAGAAAGAGAGAAUGGGGGAGAUUGAGAGGCUUGCAGAAUGUGACAUCAUUAGGGAGAACAGUGGUUGAGGUCCAGCAGCUCCUGCAGAUGGGUGGUGGUGGAAGGAGGAGAGAAUGGGCCACAGGCAGGCCAAGGGCAAGCUUAGCAGCACUCAACAUCCUCCAUGAACUCAACAGAAGUCAAGAAUGCAGGCAGCUCAUGAUGAAGACCUGCAGCGGCCCAGGUUUACCAAGCUCAUUCACAAUUGCAGUUGGAGAAUUCGUCUUUGGUCAUUUUCUACUUUGGAAAUACGGUAAAUAAUGUAACAAUGUUUUUAAGAACAAGCUUCAUCCCUUCCAGGUCCUUUUUAUAGCAAACAUUUGCAUCUAAAGGAAAUAUACUUGUGUGUGUACACA
rnacentral:lncRNA from 1 species